GGGCCCACCACGUGGUUUUCUGUAUGGGCUGCCCCUAUUUGUAGAGUCCCGUGGGCAGGGCACGGGGUUUCUGGCAUAUCCAGUCAUCUCUUGCGCUGGCUAUUUUCUGGGUUUUUGAUAAAGCCAUCCUGUGGGUGUUGCGUGGUGUUCUAUGGUGAUAGUCUCUUGAAUUUUUUAAAAAGUCCGUCCAAUCCGCUCCAGACUCCAGCAGGGAAAGCCCUGCUCAGGGUAUUGCUUUCAGCAUCUCACUCCAUUCUCCACUGUCUAGACAUUAUUUUUGUCUCUUCUUUUUGGGAAACCUCGCUCGGGCAUCGCCGGGAUCCCUCCCAGCUGCCCGAUGUUGGGCAGCAACCAGAAGGAGAGGGUUUUCUCUUCUGCAGAAAGACACUAAUCAUACUCCUGCAUGGGUUGUGGAAACGGAUGAAUAAUCAGGGCCUCCCACAGAGGACGAAUGCCCUCAAAUGCAAAGUCAGGAGUGGGGAUGAAUGCUUAUGGCUCGGAAGUAAGGAGAGACGCGCUCAAAUUCCGAAUUUCAGCGUUGGAUGCAGAAAUGGCGCCUCAAGAAGGGUCUGUCCUUGAAGGGAACGCUUCUCACCAGAGGCAGACUGAGCAUAGCAAGUUUCUAUAAUUCAUAAAAAGCCUCUCUCCCUCCCGCGGAGUUCCCUGGGACAUCUGUCAGGAAGAAAAUCAAGCCCUUAGUUUGCGGGAGGCUGACUUGAAACCCUAAAAUGGUGUGUCUGGAUGUGUCUACACACAUCUUCUGGUUUAACGGUCCUCAAAGGUUGGAGAAAGGGUUCUGCUGCUUUAAAACAAACGGGCAGGGAAAAAAAAAUGUAUUUAAACCCUUAUUUAAAUAAAACUUGUUUUCAG
rnacentral:lncRNA from 1 species